CAGUUCGGAUUGCAGGCUGCAACUCGCCUGCAUGAAGCUGGAAUUGCUAGUAAUCGCGGAUCAGCAAGCCGCGGUGAAUACGUUCCCGGGCCUUGUACACACCGCCCGUCACACCAUGAGAGUCGGGAACACCCGAAGUCCGUAGUCUAACCGCAAGGGGGGCGCGGCCGAAGGUGGGUCCGGUAAUUGGGGUGAAGUCGUAACAAGGUAGC
rnacentral:rRNA from 1 species